rnacentral:rRNA from 1 species
GACGAACGCUGGCGGUGUGCCUAACACAUGCAAGUCGAACGGUAAGGCCCUUUCGGGGGUACACGAGUGGCGAACGGGUGAGUAACACGUGAGUAACCUGCCCUCAUCUCUGGGAUAACAGUCGGAAACGGUUGCUAAUACUGGAUAUGAGCUUGCAAGGCAUCUUGUGGGUUGGAAAGAUUUUUUUGGUUGGGGAUGGACUCGCGGCCUAUCAGCUUGUUGGUGAGGUAGUGGCUCACCAAGGCUUCGACGGGUAGCCGGCCUGAGAGGGCGACCGGCCACAUUGGGACUGAGAUACGGCCCAAACUCCUACGGGAGGCAGCAGUGGGGAAUAUUGCACAAUGGACGGAAGUCUGAUGCAGCAACGCCGCGUGCGGGAUGACGGCCUUCGGGUUGUAAACCGCUUUCAAUUGUGACGAAGCUUUUUGUGACGGUAGCAGUAGAAGAAGCACCGGCUAACUACGUG